rnacentral:tRNA from 1 species
GCCUCAUUCGCAUAGUGGACGAUUGCACAGGUUUUGUAACCCUGACCGAAAGGCGCGUUGGUUCGAAUCCAACAUGAGGCU